rnacentral:rRNA from 1 species
AAACAUGCAAGUCGAACGGGGUGUUUAUUUCGGUAAACACCAAGUGGCGAACGGGUGAGUAACGCGUAAGCAAUCUACCUUCAAGAUGGGGACAACACUUCGAAAGGGGUGCUAAUACCGAAUGAAUGUAAGAGUAUCGCAUGAGACACUUACUAAAGGAGGCCUCUGAAAAUGCUUCCGCUUGAAGAUGAGCUUGCGUCUGAUUAGCUAGUUGGUGAGGGUAAAGGCCCACCAAGGCGACGAUCAGUAGCCGGUCUGAGAGGAUGAACGGCCACAUUGGGACUGAGACACGGCCCAGACUCCUACGGGAGGCAGCAGUGGGGAAUCUUCCGCAAUGGGCGAAAGCCUGACGGAGCAACGCCGCGUGAACGAUGAAGGUCUUAGGAUCGUAAAGUUCUGUUGUUAGGGACGAAGGAUAAGGAUUAUAAUACAGUCUUUGUUUGACGGUACCUAACGAGGAAGCCACGGCUAACCACGUGCCAGCAGCCGCGGUAAUACGUAGGCGGCAAGCGUUGUCCGGAAUUAUUGGGCGUAAAGGGAGCGCAGGCGGGAAACUAAGCGGAUCUUAAAAGUGCGGGGCUCAACCCCGUGAUGGGGUCCGAACUGGUUUUCUUGAGUGCAGGAGAGGAAAGCGGAAUUCCCAGUGUAGCGGUGAAAUGCGUAGAUAUUGGGAAGAACACCAGUGGCGAAGGCGGCUUUCUGGACUGUAACUGACGCUGAGGCUCGAAAGCUAGGGUAGCGAACGGGAUUAGAUACCCCGGUAGUCCUAGCCGUAAACGAUGGAUACUAGGUGUGGGAGGUAUCGACUCCUUCCGUGCCGGAGUUAACGCAAUAAGUAUCCCGCCUGGGGAGUACGGCCGCAAGGUUGCAACUCAAAUGAAUUGACGGAAUCACUAGAGCGG